GCCCGGUUAGCUCAAUCGGUAGAGCGUGAGACUCUUAAUCUCAAGGUUGCGGGUUCGGUAAGUCCUCAGUUCGAGAUCAUGCA